rnacentral:rRNA from 1 species
AAGAAGGUAGGGGGGGGUGCCAAAUUAUGCAUCUCGAGCGCAGGAACCGUCUGGCCCUUCGGGGGGACAGCGGCGGAAUGGGCGGCGGACGGGUGAGUAACACGUAAAGAACCUGCCCAUAGGUCUGGGAUAACCACGAGAAAUCGGGGCUAAUACCGGAUGUGUCAUCGGACCGCAUGGUCCGUUGAUGAAAGGCGCUCCGGCGUCGCCCAUGGAUGGCUUUGCGGUGCAUUAGCUAGUUGGUGGGGUAACGGCCCACCAAGGCGACGAUGCUACACUGAGAGGGUGAUCGCCCUGGGGACUGAAACCGGGCCCAACUCCUACGAGGCCUAGGAAU